ensembl:lncRNA
AGGAGUGCUGGCAGAAGUGGGGGCUGUUAGCUGCUGUUAGCCAACUGAAAUAACUGAGAGCUGCAGCGGGGACCCCUGAUACAGACAACAAAAGGAGGGAGACAGGCAUCCGUGGUACUUUGGAGCUGAGCUGGCCACUGAGAGAGGGCAGAGAGCAGGCAGAGUGACCUGAUCAGAUAUGGAACUAAUGCUCAUAAGCUGAGGUCGAAGUCCAGGUCCACAAAUAGGAGGUUCUGCCAGGCUGCAAAGAUGAUGUGAAGAGCAUCACACUGAGGAAGGAGAGCUCUCAACAGUGCUACUGCAGAUCCUGCUUUGAAUCUGGGGUUAACAGAAAGGGAUACAAGCAGAAAAAUAAUGUUCUUUCAUCAGUUCACUUAUCUGCAUGUUUGGAAGCAGUUAGGGCUCUGCUCAACCCAGUGGGUGUAUAAUGUAUGAUGUGACAUACAUCCCAAAACCACUGUUUGAAGUCCAAACAAAGAUUGUGGUGCUGUGAGUAGCUUCACAUAGUGCAGAAGACAUCACGUCUGAAAUCUCUCCUUCAGGAUAUGACCACCGACUUGCUCUCUACCCUCAGUCACAACUACAGGGAACAGGGGACAACUCUGGGACAUGGCAUCGUAUAUUUGAGUGCUUGAUUUAUGAAACACAGUGAAGGCAAACAAAAGCUGGAACAAGACGUUGAUAGGAAAACUCCCUGUGCUUCAGCUAGAAGACACACCUUUAAACAAAACCUCAAAGCAUUUAUUAUAGAAAAGAACAAUUUGUACUGUAUUCAACAAUGUUUUCAAAGGAUUGUCAACCUCUGUCCACAGCCAUUAGAUUUUGGAAAAUACUCUAGUGGAAAUGAAAUGGGAGCUAUCAGCAUUACCAAAACUUGUGAAGCAAAUGUGACUGCAAAGUGGUCUCCAAAAGAAGAGCAGCAAGUUGGAUUCACUUCACUGAACUGUUACUGUCUACAAUACGGCCUUCUCCAACCCAGAUGAGUCAGCCUAAACUCAUAGUAUAUUCAACAGAGAGCACUAUGCUCUUUAAGAAUGUGAUUUGUCUGUCAUAUUUUAGAACAUCUUAUCCUCUAGGUACCUAUUUCUAUACACAAUGGAGAGAACUGCACUGACUAACGUACAUGGAAGUGUCUACCUGUUCAUGAGAAACUCACAUUUUCAUUUAUAUUAAAUCUCCAUGCUGUAUGUGUAAAAUAUGAUGUCAUGGACUGAAACUGUUUAUGUUUGUUUAAUUACCACCAGUGAGUAUAUACACUGGUCAUCUGAAAUUGUUUCAGAAACAGUACUUCUGAUAAAGGCUGCUGCCUUUAUCAAUAGCUUGUUUGGUGUGGACUCUCCUCUGUCAAUGAAGAGAUAGUGAAUUUUCACUUAAAGUGGGAUUAUUUUCU